rnacentral:rRNA from 1 species
GACGCACGCUGGCGGCGUGCCUAAUACAUGCAAGUAGAACGCAGUUGCGAACGGGUGAGUAACGCGUAGGUAACUGCCUGGUAGCGGGGGAUCACUAUUGGACAAGAUAGCUAAUACACCCUACUACCCGAUGGCACUGCGUUGUAUUAGCUAGUUGGUGAGGUACCGGCUAACCAAGGCAACGAUACAUAGCCGACCUGAGCGGGGGAUCUGCCAAACGGGGACUCAGACACGGCCCAGACUCCUACGGGAGGCAGUAGUAGGGAAUCUUCGGCAAUGGGGGGAACCCUGACCGAGCAACGACGCGUGAGUGAAGAAUGUUUUCGGAUCGUAAAGCUCGGUUGUUAAGGAAGCGGUACUUAACCAGAAAGGGACGGCUAACUACGUGCCAGCAGCCGCGGUAAUUC